GCAAGUAUAGCUCCAAGGUAGAGCACAUGCUUAGCAUGCACGAGGUCCUGGGUUCAAUCCCCAGUACCUCCA
rnacentral:tRNA from 1 species